rnacentral:rRNA from 1 species
UCAGGAUGAACGCUAGCGGCAGGCUAACACAUGCAAGUCGAGGGGCAGCGAGGAGUAGCAAUACUCUGUCGGCGACCGGCGAAAGGGUGAGUAACGCGUGAGCAACAUGCCCGUAGGUGGAGGAUAGUCGAUGGAAACGUCGUGUAAUACUCCGUAACAACAGAGGCCGCAUGACCUUUGUUUAAUAGAUUCAUUGCCUACGGAUUGGCUCGCGUACCAUUAGGUAGUUGGUGAGGUAACGGCCCACCAAGCCGACGAUGGUUAGGGGUUCUGAGAGGAAGGUCCCCCCACAUUGGAACUGAGACACGGUCCAGACUCCUACGGGAGGCAGCAGUGAGGAAUAUUGGUCAAUGGCCGAAAGGCUGAACCAGCCAUGCCGCGUGCGGGAAGACGGCCCUUAAUGGGUUGUAAACCGCUUUUGUGUGGGAGCAAUAAGCAUCACGUGUGAUGCGAUGAGAGUACCAUACGAAUAAGCAUCGGCUAACUCCGUGCCAGCAGCCGC